rnacentral:rRNA from 1 species
UGAGGAAUAUUGGUCAAUGGGCGAGAGCCUGAACCAGCCAAGUCGCGUGAGGGAUGACGGAUCUAUGGUCUGUAAACCUCUUUUAACGGGGAAGAAUUGAUGGUACGUGUACUAUCUUGCCAGUACCCGUGGAAUAAGCAUCGGCUAACUCCGUGCCAGCAGCCGCGGUAAUACGGGGGAUGCGAGCGUUAUCCGGAUUUAUUGGGUUUAAAGGGCGCGUAGGCGGGAUGUCAAGUCAGCGGUAAAAGACUGCAGCUAAACUGUAGCACGCCGUUGAAACUGACGACCUAGAGACAAGACGAGGGAGGCGGAACAAGUGAAGUAGCGGUGAAAUGCUUAGAUAUCACUUGGAACCCCGAUAGCGAAGGCAGCUUCCCAGACUUGAUCUGACGCUGAUGCGCGAGAGCGUGGGUAGCGAACA